GGGAACCGCCUGAACUGAAACAUCUAAGUAGGGCGAGGAAGAGACAUCAAACGAGAUUCCGUAAGUAGUGGCGAGCGAACGCGGAAGAGGGCAAACCGAAGGUAGAAAUACCUUCGGGGUACGGACUGCAUUUAAGACUCAAUCUGUUAACCGAACGGCAUGGGAAGGCCGGUCAGAGAGUGUGAGAACCACGUAGGUGAAAACGGAGAGAGCUGCGCAGAUUCCAGAGUACGGCCAGACACGUGAAACCUGGUCGGAAGAUGGGGGGACCACCCUCCAACCCUAAAUACUACCCAGUGACCGAUAGCGUAUAGUACUGUGAAGGAAAGGUGAAAAGCACCCCGGGAGGGGAGUGAAAAAGAACCUGAAACCCUGUGCCUACAAGCACCUAGAGCACGUCAAAGUGUGAUAGGGUACUUUUUGUAGAACGGUCCGGCGAGCGAUUGUAUGCAGCAAGGUUAAGGACUUAAGGUCUGGAGCCGAAGCGAAAGCGAGUUUGAAAAGGGCGUUAAGUUGCAUAUAAUGGGCCCGAAACCGGGUGACCUACCCAUGGUCAGGUUGAAGUGGAAGUAAAAUUCCAUGGAGGACCGAACCGACCUCCGUUGAAAAGGCGGCGGAUGAACUGUGGGUAGCGGAGAAAUUCCAAUCGAACCCGGAGAUAGCUGGUUCUCCCCGAAAUAGUUUUAGGACUAGCCUCAAGUUAGAUACCUGGAGGUAAAGCACUGAAUAGCCUAGCGGCCGAGAGGUUAGCGAAGCUUAUCAAACUCAGAAUGCCAGAGUAUUGAUGCUUGGGAGUCAGACAGUGUCAGAUAAAUGUCAUUGUCAAAAGGGAAACAGCCCAGAUCUACAGCUAAGGUCCCAAAGUCAGGUUAAGUGGAAAACGAUGUGAAGAUACGCAGACAACCAGGAUGUUGGCUCAGAAGCAGCCACUCAUUCAAAGAGUGCGUAAUAGCUCACUGGUCGAGCGUCUUUGCGCGGAGAAUUUAACGGGGCUAAACCUGACACCGAAGCUUAGGCAAUCCAGCAAUGGAUUGGGUAGGGGAGCGUUGUAUACGCGGAGAAACAGUAGCGUGAGCGGCUGUGGAGUGUAUAGAAGUGAGAAUGCCGGAAUGAGUAGCGCGAAUGCAGUGAGAAUCUGCAUGGCCGAAAGCCUCAGGUUUUUGGAGGAAGGUUCGUCCGCUCCAAGUUAGUCGGGAGCUAAGGUGAGGCCGGAAGGCGUAGCCGAUGCACAGACGGUAGAGAUUCCGUCACCACCAAAAGAGUUAAGCACAGGGACACAUAUGAAGUCUCAGAGCCGGGUGUUGGUUCCGGUAGAGAUCGAGGGAAGUUAGUACCGAAGUCUGAGAUGGAAGAUGGCGAGAAAAGCUGUGUGUAUUUCUGCGGUGCCCGUACCGCAAACCGACACAGGUAGGUAGGAAGAAGAUUCUAAGGCCAACGGGAGAAGGGUUGUUAAGGAACUCGGCAAAUUGACCCCGUAACUUCGGGAGAAGGGGUGCUCCAGAGAUGGAGCCGCAGAGAAUCGGCCCAAGCAACUGUUUACCAAAAACACAGGUUUGUGCUAAAUCGAAAGAUGACGUAUACGAGCUGACGCCUGCCCGGUGCUGGAAGGUUAAGAGGAGAUGUGCAAGCAUUGAAUCGAAGCCCCAGUGAACGGCGGCCGUAACUAUAACGGUCCUAAGGUAGCGAAAUUCCUUGUCAGGUAAGUUCUGACCCGCAUGAAAGGCGUAAUGAUUUGGGCACUGUCUCAACAGCCCGCCCGGCGAAAUUGUAGUACCGGUGAAGAUGCCGGUUACCCGCGACAAGACGGAAAGACCCCAUGGAGCUUUACUGUAGCCUAAUAUUGGGUUUCGAUGUUGCAUGCACAGGAUAGAUGGGACACAGGGAAACAAUCGCUUUGGCGGUUGCGGAGUGGCCGUUGGGAUACCAUCCUUGCGAUAUUGGAAUUCUAACCUGCGGCUCUGAAUCGAGUCGGGGGACAUUGUUAGGUGGGCAGUUUGACUGGGGCGGUCGCCUCCUAAAAAGUAACGGAGGCGUUCAAAGGUUCGCUCAGCUUGAACGGAAAUCAAGCAAAAGAGUGCAAACGCAGAAGCGAGCCUAACUGCGAGACUGACGGGUCGAGCAGUAACGAAAGUUGGAGUUAGUGAUCCGGUGGUAUGUGAGUGGAAUGCCAUCGCUCAACGGAUAAAAGCUACCCUGGGGAUAACAGGCUGAUCUCCCCCAAGAGUCCACAUCGACGGGGAGGUUUGGCACCUCGAUGUCGGCUCAUCGCAUCCUGGAGCUGUAGUCGGUUCCAAGGGUUGGGCUGUUCGCCCAUUAAAGCGGUACGCGAGCUGGGUUCAGAACGUCGCGAGACAGUUCGGUCCCUAUCUAUCACGGGCGUAGGAAAUUUGAGGAGAGCUGACCUUAGUACGAGAGGACCGGGUUGGACGUACCGCUGGUGCACCUGUUGUUCUGCCAAGGGCAUAGCAGGGUAGCUAAGUACGGACGGGAUAAACGCUGAAGGCAUCUAAGCGUGAAGCCCCCUUCGAGAUAAGAUUUCCCAUAGCGUAGGCUAGUAAGGACCCAUGAAGACUAC
rnacentral:rRNA from 1 species